UGGGGCGGAGUCCUGCCACUUUCCUGUGAGGCCGCUGGAAUCUGGGGGGUUGGAGCGGAGCCGGGACGCCGCUCGUGGUGGGGUUUUUAAACGUUCGAGACAGUUAAAGGAAGAACGUACGAAGGCGACGAGGCCUCUCCCGCACCGGAGGCGGCAUCCCUUCCCUGAGCCCCACGGCGGGCGCAGGGACAAGAGCACCGAGGCAGACGCCGGGGCAGUCCGCUGGGGCUCGGGGAAGAGGCCGCCUCUUCCCGCGGGCUCCCGCGUCGGUGCAGGGCCGGGGACGUGCCUGGGUUUCUGGGCUGAGGAAUGUGUUGGGCUCCUGAACAUAAGUGCACGGUGGUCGUGAAGGGAGAACGUGUUGGGGACAGGACAGUCCUGCAUGGUCAAGGCUUUCAGAGGAAGAGUGGGCGAGCAGUGUUCGGCAGCAGAGGGGGCACUGUGACCUUUGAGGAUUGGAUUUCUAUUUCUCCUCAAGAGUGGGAUCUCCUUGAUGAGGUUCAAAGAUGCUUGUACCAUGAUGUGAUGGUGGGAAAACUGGCACUUAUACUUCUCUGGGCUGCUAUGUGCUGAACUCUGCUGGCUGGUGUCCCCUGGCCUCUCCUGUUUUUCUCUUACUACCUGCAUCAUCUGGAUGCAGUGUGAUUUUUUUUUUUUAUCCUGGGGUGGUUGGUGGUGUGGAAUAGAGGAUGAGGAGGCAACUUCUGAGCAGAGUAUUUCUGUAAGAGGAAGUGUCACAGAUUAUGACUUCCAAGUCAGUUCUAUGUCUCCAAGAGUCCAACCUCUGUGAGAUGUGUGGCCUUAUCUUAAAAGACAUCCUUCACUUGGCUGAGCAUAAGAAAGCACACCACAAGCAGAAAAUGUGCAUGUGUUGAGCAUGUGAGAAACAAUUCUAUUUCUGUACAAAUUUUCAGCAC